GAACGCAUCUUGCGCUUGCUGGUAUUCCGGCAAGCAUGCCUGUUUGAGUGUCAUGAAACUUAUCAACCGUGACUUGGGUUUAGGCCCCUGGCUCGGCUUGGAUUUGGGUGCUUGCGGUCCGCCGCUCACCUCAAAAGGAUUAGCUGGACAUGUCGUGAGACUUGGUUCUACUUGGCGUAAUAAGUAUUUCGCUGAGGACAUCCCCUCGUGGGGUGGCCAUGACUCUGGUACAAACGUCUGCUUUCUAACCCGAUCGUCCUCGGACAUCACUUUUUUAUGAUCUGGCCUCAAAUCAGGUAGGACUACCCGCUGAACUUAAG
rnacentral:misc_RNA from 1 species